rnacentral:rRNA from 1 species
UACGUAGGGGGCAAGCGUUGUCCGGAAUCAUUGGGCGUAAAGAGCUCGUAGGCGGUUUGUCGCGUCUGCCGUGAAAGUCCGGGGCUCAACUCCGGAUCUGCGGUGGGUACGGGCAGACUAGAGUGAUGUAGGGGAGACUGGAAUUCCUGGUGUAGCGGUGAAAUGCGCAGAUAUCAGGAGGAACAUCGAUGGCGAAGGCAGGUCUCUGGGCAUUAACUGACGCUGAGGAGCGAAAGCAUGGGGAGCGAACAGG